rnacentral:rRNA from 1 species
ACCCGCUGAACUUAAGCAUAUCAAUAAGCGGAGGAAAAGAAACCAACAGGGAUUGUCUCAGUAACGGCGAGUGAAGCGACAAAAGCUCAAAUUUGAAAUCUGGCGCCUUCGGUGUCCGAGUUGUAAUUUGAAGAAGGUAACUUUGGUUUUGGCUCUUGUCUAUGUUCCUUGGAACAGGACGUCACAGAGGGUGAGAAUCCCGUGCGAUGAGAUGCCCAAUUCCAUGUAAAGUGCUUUCGAAGAGUCGAGUUGUUUGGGAAUGCAGCUCUAAGUGGGUGGUAAAUUCCAUCUAAAGCUAAAUAUUGGCGAGAGACCGAUAGCGAACAAGUACAGUGAUGGAAAGAUGAAAAGAACUUUGAAAAGAGAGUGAAAAAGUACGUGAAAUUGUUGAAAGGGAAGGGCUUGAGAUCAGACUUGGUAUUUUGUAUGUCUUGCUUUCGGGUAGGGCCUCUGCAGUUUAUCGGGCCAGCAUCAGUUUGGAUGGUAGGAUAAUGACAUUGGAACGUAGCACUGCUUCGGUGGUGUGUUAUAGACUUUGUUGAUACUGCCUGUCUAGACUGAGGACUGCGU